rnacentral:sRNA from 1 species
AGCCAGAGCCCGCCUGAGCAGAGCUGGCUGUAUGGAGGAUGUCACAAGCUCCUCCCCGGGACAGAUGCCAGGAGGAUACAAAUGACUUCUCAGUUUGUAUCUUUCCACCAUACCUGCACUACCUUGGUUUUUGUUUGCUUGUUUGCUUGUUUUAAUGGAGGAACUGGAAUUGCAAGCCCCUAAGGUAGAGAGAAAUGAAUGAAAAAUUUUGUUCUCCCAGAUUGAGUGAAUGGCAACACAUUUCUGCUGGUUGUUGCAUAGACUGAGAGAUGCCGGUCUAGACUACCAGAACUAGGAGGGCCUUGGAGAUCAUCUGUGACAGUGUUUUCCAACUGCAGCAAGCCCCAUCAAUACUGGGGUUUGGAAGUGGGUCCUGGGAGCACACUGGGGAAAAAGUAACAAGGAUUGGACUGGCUACCUGUUUUAGAAUCUUUUACGUGAGUCAACUUCUCCCUGGUACAGACACCCAAAUCGACGAAGUCCUGUCUGCCAUUGCCUCUUUUUUCCACGAGAGUACGUCUACCAUCACCAGAAGAGACGCCAAGCUCAUCUGAAACAAGAAGAUAACAUGGCAUGUUGGACUGCAUGCAGCCUCCCCAUCAAAACCACACUGAGUGUCAGAGCUCUGGGUUUUCAGUAAGAUGUGUCUGAGCUGCCAACAUAUUCCUGACGGUACCAACACUGAAAACUACAGAAAACGCUGGGAACGUUCAGUUAGAAAUAAGACUUGGUGUCAGCUUUUACAAUGCUGCGGCUCCCUCCAUAGGCCCCAGUGCCACCUGUUAAAUGUAACCAUCCCUCCCUCUCCCUCAGCUCUAGGGUGGCUGCACUCUGACGCGUUCCAAGCCAGGGAAAUCCACACCGUCUUCUGCACAGAGUGACUGAGUCUCUCAUGUUUCCCAGGGCAAAGAGAAACUAUCCAGGCCUGGACAGCAACAAUUAUGCUGGAUUAUUCUUUAAGAAGAGUCCACUUUGGUGUCUACCAUUUACUUCAGGUCACAAAAACCUGAAAGAAAUCUGCUUAGAUGAGCACAGCUUUGAAAUGCCUUCAGCACUGGAACAGUAACUUUAGUGCCUCAAAAUCCAGGAUUUUAGGGCAAAACAAUGCGCUGACCCUCUGGGUUCAUCUGUCUUGUAAUGUAGUCACUAUAUGUGCUGUACCCAAAUACCCCUUCUUCCUGUUCUAAACUACUUUCCAGUCCUUACUCCAUGGAAGUGGAGUCUCUCAGGAAGACUUAAGAACAAACAAAACAGUUUUUAAAAUGCUCUAAUUCUUAAGAGAUUGAUUUUAACUGACCAUCCAUAUCUCUCACUGCUCUAGAUAUUAAGUGAUUUUUAGACAGUUUAAGAACGUCAAACUACCAGCGCCAGGGAAACAGCUCAGUGGUUAGCACUUGAUGCUGGUGGAGGGGACCGGUCUGAUUCCCACAUCAUGUGGUUCACAACCACUUCAGGGGGACCCAGAUCUUCUGGCCUCACACACA